rnacentral:miRNA from 1 species
GCAGACACAUUCCAGCCAAUCAGCAGCAGACCCUCCCUCCCAGACCCUCCCACCUCCUGGACAGCUCACUAAGAAUGCAGCUUCACAAUGAAUGUAAAAUGGAUGCUGUCCACGAGUUGGGAGGGUCUGGGAGGGAGGGUCUGCUGCUGAUUGGCUGGAAUGUGUCUG